rnacentral:rRNA from 1 species
CAGGCUUAACACAUGCAAGUCGAGGGGCAGCAUGGUCUUAGCUUGCUAAGGCCGAUGGCGACCGGCGCACGGGUGAGUAACACGUAUCCAACCUGCCGUCUACUCUUGGACAGCCUUCUGAAAGGAAGAUUAAUACAAGAUGGCAUCAUGAGUCCGCAUGUUCACAUGAUUAAAGGUAUUCCGGUAGACGAUGGGGAUGCGUUCCAUUAGAUAGUAGGCGGGGUAACGGCCCACCUAGUCUUCGAUGGAUAGGGGUUCUGAGAGGAAGGUCCCCCACAUUGGAACUGAGACACGGUCCAAACUCCUACGGGAGGCAGCAGUGAGGAAUAUUGGUCAAUGGGCGAGAGCCUGAACCAGCCAAGUAGCGUGAAGGAUGACUGCCCUAUGGGUUGUAAACUUCUUUUAUAAAGGAAUAAAGUCGGGUAUGGAUACCCGUUUGCAUGUACUUUAUGAAUAAGGAUCGGCUAACUCCGUGCCAGCAGCCGCGGUAAUACGGAGGAUCCGAGCGUUAUCCGGAUUUAUUGGGUUUAAAGGGAGCGUAGAUGGAUGUUUAAGUCAGUUGUGAAAGUUUGCGGCUCAACCGUAAAAUUGCAGUUGAUACUGGAUAUCUUGAGUGCAGUUGAGGCAGGCGGAAUUCGUGGUGUAGCGGUGAAAUGCUUAGAUAUCACGAAGAACUCCGAUUGCGAAGGCAGCCUGCUAAGCUGCAACUGACAUUGAGGCUCGAAAGUGUGGGUAUCAAACAGGAUUAGAUACCCUGGUAGUCCACACGGUAAACGAUGAAUACUCGCUGUUUGCGAUAUACUGCAAGCGGCCAAGCGAAAGCGUUAAGUAUUCCACCUGGGGAGUACGCCGGCAACGGUGAAACUCAAAGGAAUUGACGGGGGCCCGCACAAGCGGAGGAACAUGUGGUUUAAUUCGAUGAUACGCGAGGAACCUUACCCGGGCUUAAAUUGCAGAUGAAUUACGGUGAAAGCCGUAAGCCGCAAGGCAUCUGUGAAGGUGCUGCAUGGUUGUCGUCAGCUCGUGCCGUGAGGUGUCGGCUUAAGUGCCAUAACGAGCGCAACCCUUGUUGUCAGUUACUAACAGGUUCCGCUGAGGACUCUGACAAGACUGCCAUCGUAAGAUGUGAGGAAGGUGGGGAUGACGUCAAAUCAGCACGGCCCUUACGUCCGGGGCUACACACGUGUUACAAUGGGGGGUACAGAGGGCCGCUACCACGCGAGUGGAUGCCAAUCCCCAAAACCUCUCUCAGUUCGGACUGGAGUCUGCAACCCGACUCCACGAAGCUGGAUUCGCUAGUAAUCGCGCAUCAGCCACGGCGCGGUGAAUACGUUCCCGGGCCUUGUACACACCGCCCGUCAAGCCAUGGGAGCCGGGGGUACCUGAAGUGCGUAACCGCGGGGAGCGCCCUAGGGUAAAACUGGUGACUGG